ACUAAUCUAAAGCAAAUCAGAGUUAGACAGAAUGCUUCUUUUGCAAGAAGUUAGGGCACUGGAUGAGGAAUUAUCCUCUACACCUAGCAUCCCUUGAUUCGAACAGGCCUAGAAAGAGAAAUUCAUAAUUGAUUGCUGGACAGGGUACUUAUAUGAUACACCUUAUAAUUUUUUGUCUAUGAUACUACCACCUGAGUAUUGGAUACUAAAAGUCUAAUUCAUAUCUACAAUUCAUUACAGGAACUUCAGGUUAGUAGAAAAUUUAAGAAAAAUAAAUGAUUCCUAAAUAUUGG
rnacentral:lncRNA from 1 species